rnacentral:misc_RNA from 1 species
AUUCUAGUUAGAGUGCUAGACUGCACUGGUUUUAAAAUAUUAAUAUAACAUCUAGUAAUCAUUCAUCAGGAAUUAGUGGAGUGCUAAGGGUUGAGUAAAUUGGUUGAUGUUGGACUACUUAUUUAUCACAGAGAAUAAUUCGUUGGAGCAUAAAAUUUCUUAGUUGUGUUUGAGCCAAUUGAUGUAGAACUCUAGGUUCUUGCAUCCAAAUUAAUCUUAUUCUGUGAAAACUGGUUAAGCCUGUAGAGACUGUUUUCCUGUUAAAGAAACAAAAUAGAAAACUAUUAAAUGACCCACUAAAAAUAUAAAUUUACAAUGUUUAUUA